GACAGAGGGUGCAAACGUUGUUCGGAAUUACUGGGCGUAAAGCGCAAUGUAGGCGGCCUAGCAGGUCGGAUGUGAAAUCCCUCGGCUCAACCAAGGAAGUGCAUUCGAAACCGCAAGGCUCGAGUCCCGGAGAGGAUGGUGGAAUUCUCGGUGUAGAGGUGAAAUUCGUAGAUAUCAGGAAGAACACCCGUGCUAAGGCGGCUCUCUAGUACGGUACUGACGCUGAUGCACGAAGGCCAGGGAGCAAACGGG
rnacentral:rRNA from 1 species